UACAGAGGGUGCAAGCGUUAAUCGGAGUUACUGGGCGUAAAGGGCGCGUAGGCGGUUAUAUAAGUGAGAUGUGAAAUCCCUGGGCUUAACCUAGGAACUGCAUCUUAUACUGUAUAUCUGGAGUAUUGUAGAGGGUAGUGGAAUUUCCGGUGUAGCGGUGAAAUGCGUAGAUAUCGUAAGGAAGACCAGUGGCGAAGGCGGGUCUCUGGACAGUUCCUGACGCUGAGGCACGAAGGUCAGGGGAGCAAACGGG
rnacentral:rRNA from 1 species